rnacentral:siRNA from 1 species
UGAUACUCAGUAUCAGGUGACGUG